UUGCUCCAACUUCAACUGAUUACUUCAACUGAAGUAUUAUCUUUGCGGCGUGGCUUGAGUGUCAGGAGAAUGCUUCAGAGGAAAAUUGUUGUGAAAGGAGAAAUUAUAAAAAGAGUCUGGUUUUUAUAUACGACAAAUCAUUUGACUGUUGAUCAAUUACUAACUGCGGCAAGUCAUUUUAUAGCUGCAGGUGGGAACCAAUUUUUAAUUUCGGAUCCUCAAGAUCUUCGAAUUUUCGUCAACGAUCUCUGUUUUAAUGACAUUGUUAAUUUGUUUCGCAUUCCGCAAAUAACAAUCAUCGACCAUAUAAUAGCUGUUGAUGACGAUGACCUGCUUGUCGUGCGUAAGUUGAACAUGCAUCGCUGCACUUUUUGCAAUGCCAGUGCUAUUACUGAUCAUGUAUCAGUCCCUUGUUGGCACUGGUUUUCAUGCAAAAAGUGUGCCAUGA